rnacentral:rRNA from 1 species
UGGGGAAUAUUGCACAAUGGGCGCAAGCCUGAUGCAGCCAUGCCGCGUGUGUGAAGAAGGCCUUCGGGUUGUAAAGCACUUUCAGCGAGGAGGAAGGUGGUGAGCUUAAUACGCUCAUCAAUUGACGUUACUCGCAGAAGAAGCACCGGCUAACUCCGUGCCAGCAGCCGCGGUAAUACGGAGGGUGCAAGCGUUAAUCGGAAUUACUGGGCGUAAAGCGCACGCAGGCGGUUUGUUAAGUCAGAUGUGAAAUCCCCGGGCUCAACCUGGGAACUGCAUUUGAAACUGGCAAGCUAGAGUCUCGUAGAGGGGGGUAGAAUUCCAGGUGUAGCGGUGAAAUGCGUAGAGAUCUGGAGGAAUACCGGUGGCGAAGGCGGCCCCCUGGACGAAGACUGACGCUCAGGUGCGAAAGCGUGGGGCAGCAAACAGGAUUAGAUACCCUGGUAGUCCACGCUGUAAACGAUGUCGAUUUGGAGGUUGUGCCCUUGAGGCGUGGCUUCCGGAGCUAACGCGUUAAAUCGACCGCCUGGGGAGUACGGCCGCAAGGUUAAAACUUAAAGGAAUGAC